rnacentral:misc_RNA from 1 species
GAUGAAGAACGUAGCGAAAUGCGAUAAGUAAUGUGAAUUGCAGAAUUCAGUGAAUCAUCGAGUCUUUGAACGCACAUUGCGCCCCUUGGUAUUCCGAGGGGCAUGCCUGUUCGAGCGUCAUUAUAACCCCUCAAGCUCGGCUUGGUGUUGGGGCCUGCCGCACGGGCAGCCCUUAAAAUCAGUGGCGGUGCCAUCUGGCUCUAAGCGUAGUAAUUCUUCUCGCUAUAGAGUCCCGGUGGAUGCUUGCCAUUAACCCCCAAUUUCAAUGGUUGACCUCGGAUCAGGUAGGGAUACCCGCUGAACUUAAGCAUAUCAAUAAGCGGAGGA